rnacentral:rRNA from 1 species
UCCGUAGGUGAACCUGCGGAAGGAUCAUUACAGAAAGUAAACGCGGAUCGAACCGCGAACUUCUAAACCUUUGACGAUUGACUCAUGUUGCCUCGGCGGGUUCUCCCGCCAGAGGAUACAUCAAAACUCCUGUUUUAACGGUGUUGUCUGAGCUACAAGCAACGAAUCAAAACUUUCAACAACGGAUCUCUUGGUUCCGGCAUCGAUGAAGAACGCAGCGAAAUGCGAUAAGUAGUGUGAAUUGCAGAAUUCAGUGAAUCAUCGAAUCUUUGAACGCACAUUGCGCCCCUUGGUAUCCCGAGGGGCAUGCCUGUUCGAGCGUCAUUUCACCACUCAAGCCUGGCUUGGUGUUGGGCGACGUCCCCUUUGGGGACGCGCCUCGAAACGCUCGGCGGCGUGGCACCGGCUUUAAGCGUAGCAGAAUCUUUCGCUUUAAAAGUCGAGGCCCCGUCUGCCGGAAGACCUACUCGCAAGGUUGACCUCGGAUCAGGCAGGGAUACCCGCUGAACUUAAGCAUAUCAAUAAGCGGAGGAAAUCUC